CCCAGAGAACUGCCACUCCAUAGCCUGUGGGCAUCCAGGGGUGAGCGGCAGCGAUGGCGCCCCAUGGAGGAAACACACUGGAAAUCGUGCAGAAGAUGGGAAGAUGCAGGCUGGAGUGCGGAGAAGGACUGAGACCCUGCCUGGUAGACGGCACCGUCACAGCAGCCGUCUGCCUGCUAGGAGGAGCGUCUCCACCAGCAGCAGGCCGGCCCCUGAGGGAGACAGCAGAGAGCUGGAGUCCUGGCCAGCCAGGCGGGGAUCCUUCAGCAGGACACAGGGGACACAGCAGGCAACAGGAGCUCAGAACGCUCUCGGCGACCCUGCUGAGUAACUUGUGGACUUUGUCGUCUGGCCAGUCAUGCAGGAUCCGGCACAGGACGUACAGCUCAGCGCUGGGGAGGGGGUCCCUGAAAAAGUCACCUGGUUUAAAGACAAAACGAGAUACGUCCGUCAGGUAUGGAAGAAGCAGUCCUCCCCGGACAGAUCCUGGGACGGCCACCCGCAUCCUAAAUCAGGGACAGAGAAGAGAGGGGUGUGGGCGGGAAUGGGUCUUCCUGAAGUACAUCCCCGUGGGGACUUGAACAGAGCUCCAUGAGGAGCUGGUUAGUGAUGUCACGCCCGUGCGGUUUGACUCGGGCUGAGAAAACGCUGGGGACAGUGGCUCACACCUGUAAUCUCAGCAUUUUGGGAGCCUGAGCCUCCCAGAGGGCUGGGAUUCCAGGCGUCUCCUGUCAAUCCGUCCUGGCCUCAGCAGCUGCCACCUGGAAGUUCUCCUUCAAGUCUAACCUAAGGCCACACUGUGACGGCUCUCGGGUCAGUUCCUUCCGUGACCUCGGCACCGUGGAUGCCCAUGAAUGCUGAUCUCGGCUGUUCCCCAUCUCCACUCCCCUCACGUCUCGGCUACUUGCACUGAUGAUAACUUCA
rnacentral:lncRNA from 1 species